rnacentral:rRNA from 1 species
AUUGAACGCUGGCGGCAGGCUUAACACAUGCAAGUCGAGCGGGGUGAUGGUGCUUGCACUAUCACUUAGCGGCGGACGGGUGAGUAAUGCUUAGGAAUCUGCCUAUUAGUGGGGGACAACAUCUCGAAAGGGAUGCUAAUACCGCAUACGUCCUACGGGAGAAAGCAGGGGAUCACUUGUGACCUUGCGCUAAUAGAUGAGCCUAAGUCGGAUUAGCUAGUUGGUGGGGUAAAGGCCUACCAAGGCGACGAUCUGCAGCGGGUCUGAGAGGAUGAUCCGGCACACUGGGACUGGGACACGGCCCAGACUCCGACGGGAGGCAGCAGUGGGGAAUAUUGGACAAUGGGGGUAACCCCGAUCCAGCCAUGCCGCGUGUGUGAAGAAGGCUUUAUGGUUGUAAAGCACUUUACGCGAGGAGGAGGCUCUUUUGGUUAAUACCCAAGAUGAGUGGACGUUACUCGCAGAAUAAGCACCGGCUAACUCUGUGCCAGCAGCCGCCGUAA